rnacentral:ncRNA from 1 species
GCUAUAAUAUCUUUAGAUUGAGAUGCUGGUGUAGAUGCUUGCAAGCUGCCAGCAGCCCUCGCACGGACAGAGAAGCAAGGAUACUUGUAAUCGUUCCCGUUGAGAAAUCUGGAUGCCGUAAAAGGCAAAGCGAGUAGGCGUACGAUCAUUUCGAGAAGUCAAAAGCUAACAAAGCGUGGUCGGAAUAAUAGACGCUCCUGUGGAGAAUAACCUAUUAGACAACUCUUUGGCAAGGGUGUGAAAAACUUGAUAGGAAAGCCAAACAAUCCGAUUCGUAGUGAAGAGAUUAAAAUCUCGUAUAACACGCUAUGUUGAACAAGUAGCCCAAUCUACGUUUGAAGAUAAUUCUUUCCGAAUGGCAUUUAUUCAAAAAGAAAAAAUCCGAAAGCGGGUGAAAGUUAGAGGUUUCAAGCCUCUUGUCUCAACGGGCAGCGGCGUUUGAGUCGUUGUCGGGCUUAACUGCAUUAGGGUAGCUCCUUAAUGCACGGGUUAAGUUCGGGCAUGGCCGAAGAUGAUGAGUCGGAUGAUUGUAGGGUGAACAAAAGCCCCUCAAUCUUUUUUUGUUGCA